rnacentral:rRNA from 1 species
AUUAAAACUGUCUCUUUUUUAAGUAUAAAAAUUGUCGUAUAGGUGCAGAGACCUAUAUAUUAAUGAAAGACAAAAAGACCCUAUUGAGCUUUAUUUUUAUUAGGUUUUUUUAGACAUAUUACUUUUUAACUAUUAUAAAUUUGGUUGGGGCGACAUAGAAAUAAAUAAAUCUUUCUUGAAAUUUAAGAAUUAUAAUUCUGUUAAAAGAUCUAUAUUUUAGAAAAGAGAAAUAGUUACCAUAGGGAUAACAGGCUAAUUCUUUUGGAGAGUUCAAAUUGAUAAAAGAGUUUGGCACCUCGAUGUUGGCUUAAGAUAUCCUAUAGGUGUAGCAGUUUAUAAGGGUUGGUUUGUUCAACCAUUAAAAUCUU